AAAUGACAUGAAUUUUAGUCAACAACAACAACAUGCUGAGUGAGAAGUAAACACAUGUACUUUCUGCUUGAAACUGCCGGCAUUUGACAGAUUUCAACGGUUGUGACUGAAGGCCUUGUUUUGAGGGUGUUUUGCAGACCAGUGCUUGUCGGCCUGGGGAUUUUCCAGAAAAACUGUAGACUGCCCCCUUAAGGUUUAGGUCUGAGAGUGUAUGCCAGAGAGUCUGCCUGUGCUAACCCUGCUGUGGUUCUGACGCAUUGACUGUCCCUGGCUUCCUUGUCUGUCAGCCGUACCAGUCGUUUAGAAGCUUUCGGCGCCUCGGAACUUGCACUGGAAACUCCAGGUUGUGACUGAAGGCCUUGUUUUGAGGGUGUUUUGCAGACCAGUGCUUGUCGGCCUGGGGAUUUUCCAGAAAAACUGUAGACUGCCCCCUUAAGAUUCAUCUGUGCUUAAGACCCUGUGACUCAUGGCCGCUGCUUUUUUUUCGAGUUUUCCCCCGGAUCAGCUUGUAGUGAAACUGGAAGCUGUUCUGGGUGAAAAGAGUGAGUUGGUUGGUCUGUGUUGCCUGUGGACUGGUGAAACAGAUAGGUAAGGCUAUGGUGUGCACCGUGUUGUUGUAUCGGGCAAGCGCAUCAAGCUAAAAGUCCACCGUCUCAAGUACUAUCUGUGUGAUCCCGGACACAGUGCACUGCAGCGCAAUUUCCAUAUCUCACACCUCUGCCACAAUAAGCUUUGCAUUAAUAUAGAGCAUUUAUCGUAUGAGCCAGUAACUGUUAAUAAUUCCCGCAAAGUGUGCCUUACAAAUGGUCAAUGCUCGGGUCACAGGGGCUUCAGGGAAUGCUGUCUGUGGUCUGCGGUAAAUAUACAAGUUAGGUUAUUGUUAUGUUGCCGUUCGCAGUUUGCAUGUACUGUACAUCACAAGGUUUUCUGUUUUACACUUUAAGUCCAUAGCUAUGGUCAGCAGCACUUGUAGAUGGCAUACUUUCAGAGGCAUAUAGACCGUCCCGGUACAGGGCUCUGUUUGCGUGCCGCUUUCUAAGGUAGAAUCUGACUAUUUUGUACCGCACUGAGGCCUUCCUGCGGCUGUCAUAUUCCCGUCUGCGAUCCUUGGCCUUCAGUUGGUUGUAUAUCAUGCUAUGUAAACUGAUUUUUUUCCCUGUCACCUUUUCUGCCACCUUCAUUGAUGAUUUGCUGGGCCCCAUAGACCUUGUAUGAACUGCAGAAUGACACAGAGCUGCAAAGUUUCUAGCAUAGAAUGAAGUUUUGGGGGCAUAAUGAAA